AUUGAACGCUGGCGGCAGGCAUAACACAUGCAAGUCGAGCGAGUGGCGGACGGGUGAGUAAUGUCUGGGAAACUGCCUGAUGGAGGGGGAUAACUACUGGAAACGGUAGCUAAUACCGCAUACCAUCGGAUGUGCCCAGAUGGGAUUAGCUAGUAGGUGGGGUAAAGGCUCACCUAGGCGACGAUCCCUAGCUGGUCUGAGAGGAUGACCAGCAACACUGGAACGGAGACACGGUCCAGACUCCUACGUGAGGCAGCAGUGGGGAAUAUUGCACAAUGGGCGCAAGCCUGAUGCAGCCAUGCCGAGUGUGUGAAGAAGGCCUUCGGGUUGUAAAGCACUUUCAGCGAGGAGGCGUUACUCGCAGAAGAAGCACCGGCUAACUCCGUGCCAGCAGCCGCGGUAAUUC
rnacentral:rRNA from 1 species